rnacentral:rRNA from 1 species
GUGGGGAAUUUUGGACAAUGGGCGAAAGCCUGAUCCAGCCAUGCCGCGUGCAGGAUGAAGGCCUUCGGGUUGUAAACUGCUUUUGUACGGAACGAAAAGACUCCUUCUAAUAAAGGGGGUCCAUGACGGUACCGUAAGAAUAAGCACCGGCUAACUACGUGCCAGCAGCCGCGGUAAUACGUAGGGUGCAAGCGUUAAUCGGAAUUACUGGGCGUAAAGCGUGCGCAGGCGGUUAUAUAAGACAGAUGUGAAAUCCCCGGGCUCAACCUGAGAACUGCAUUUGUGACUGGAUAGCUAGAGUAAGGUAGAGGGGGAUGGAAUUCCGCGUGUAGCAGUGAAAUGCGUAGAUAUGCGGAGGAACACCGAUGGCGAAGGCAAUCCCCUGGACCUGUACUGACGCUCAUGCACGAAAGCGUGGGGAGCAAACAGGAUUAGAAACCCUUGUAGUCC